GUGCUCACUUUGGCAGCACACGUACUAAAAAUAGGAACCACACAGAGAAGAUUGGCAUGGCGCCUGCGCAAGGAUGACAUGCAAAUCCCUAAAAGCACUCUAGCUUCUA